GUCCUUGCUUCAUACACACAUUUAAUUAAAAUUGGAUCAAUAAAGAGAAGAGUAGCAUCAUCCCCUGUACAAGGAUGACAUACAAAAACAUGAAGUUUUCUACACUGAA
rnacentral:snRNA from 1 species